UCGAGAAUAAUUCGCAAUGGACGAAAGUCUGACGAUGCGACGCCGCAUGAACGAUGAAGGCCUUCGGGUUGUAACGUUCUGUUGCCCUAGAACAAGAGUGACUGACGAAUAGGUGGUCACGAUGAGGGUAUAGGGAGAGGAAGCACCGGCUAAUUCCGUGCCAGCAGCUGCGGUAAUACGGAGGAUGCAAGCGUUAUCCGGAUUUAUUGGGUUUAAAGGGUGCGCAGGCGGACGAUUAAGUCAGUGGUGAAAUGCAACAGCUUAACUGUUGAACUGCCAUUGAAACUGAUUAUCUAGAGUACAGACGACGUUGGCGGAAUGCGACAUGUAGCGGUGAAAUGCUUAGAUAUUACACAGAACACCAAUUGCGGAGGCAGCUUACUAAAGUGUUACUGACGCUGAUGCACGAAAGCGUGGGGAGCGAACA
rnacentral:rRNA from 1 species